rnacentral:tmRNA from 1 species
GGGGGUCACCCGGCAUGAGGACGCGUUCCGCGAUGUCGCCGGGUUCCGCGCCGAUGUGAAUACUCAUGCGGGCGAUACUGCCAGGUCCGAGAGUUGCCGGCGCCGCCGCGCCGGGUGGUCUGGGGGUCGGGUACCCUACUCGGCGGUGGUGUGUCCGAGUGGCCUAAGGAGCACGCCUCGAAAGCGUGUGAGGGUUUACGCCCUCCGCGGGUUCAAAUCCCGCCGCCACCGCCAGUAGCAGGGCAAACGCCCGGCAGCGUGAGUCACGCGGCCGGGCGUCGCUCGUUGUGGUCUCAGUUUCGGUCUCAGUUGCCUAUCAGGAUGCCUCUCUGAGCGUCCCUGCGGACCCGUCGUUCGGCCCGUCGGGCUCCCA